GGACCCAUAAUACAGACAAUUCGCAAGGUAGCGUAUGUAGCGUACAAAAAAAGCACCGCAACUGAUUUUUACAGCCGGGAUUUUGUUUGAGUCAGAGCUGUCUAACUGAGUCGACUCUCCAACAUCAACAACGUUUUGGUUUGAACAGAUAUAUACCAUUGUGAGAUGCGACAAGCUGAGCUAACGUUGUCACUCUUAUCCUGAAGUGAUCAUUGGACAAACGGCAAGAAAGUGAAUGCUUACUGAGUCAUUUCUCACAGACUUCAUCAGUUGUGGAUUUUUGAAACCAAGCGUUUACGAAGUAAAAUAUUAUAUUUGUUUCAAGUAAGAGGUCCGUAUACAUCUCUGAGUCCCUAAUAUCCGAAAUUCUUACAAAGGACUUCUGAAUUUUAUCAGCAGAGCCAAUUCACCGAUAUCCGUUGCAAUGAGAUUCAAACCUAAACACACCAUCUCUCACGAUGAGGCGGUGCAACAAGCUAUGAAGCAGAACAAGUUCAGUCAGAAUGUACAGACGUCUUUCUUCAUCACACUCGUCAAUAACGGACUUCCCCUAAUCCUGUUUGUAGCUGUUGUUGCCACCUCCAUCUACACUAAAUCACUGUACAAGGCUGGGUAUAUGUUGGCUUGUUUUGCUGCAUGUUUGUCUAUUGCUUACAUGGUCUGGUAUUUUGUGUCCUACCUGGUUGUCUAUGUGCUCUUAUACACCAAGAAGAUUGUGACAAACAUAUUCAGGCAGAGUACAGGGAUACAGCAAGACAGGAAAAAACUGUGAAUAUAUUUUUAGUGGUAAGAUGUACUGUAUAGCAAUAUGUACACUGAUUUUGUUAUCUUUGCAUUGUUGUACCAAUAUCCUGUAGGCUGUAUGGAUACAUUUUCUCAAAUGGUAGCAUAGCAUCACAGAUAUAUCAUCAAACAACUUCAUUCCUAGUCUUUUCUAACUAUUGAUUUUGUUUGUCACAGAAAUCUUUCUUACAUAAUUGUUUUUUCGAUUAUGAACGUUUCAUAAUGAUAUUCCAGCAUUACACAUGGUGUUCUAAAGUGGUUGUAUUGUUUUUGAAAAUUGGUGCAAUUUAAUUUAUUUCAUAAAUGCCAGUUAUGUACUAUCCUGCAUGUUCAUUUUCAGGGACAUUUAGUCAUGCUUGAGAAAAAAUACAAAUCAUAAUAAUACUGAAAAUGUCUGAAAUACCGGUAACCAAGUUCGCAAGGAAAAGAAAAAAAAAGAAAAAGAAAAUAGAACAAAUAUUUGUCUAAGAAAUUCAUAGGAAGUUGGUAGUGAUUGCUCCAAGUACAUUUAUGUAAUGCAUGCCAAAACAAUUAGAUUGUUUGUUUGGAGCCAGUAGAGCAUUAAGUCUCUGUUGGAUUGCAUGUAUAUGACUUAACGCCAUUCCGUCUCCAAACUGACAAAAAAAUUACAAAAUACAUGAGAGGCAAAUUUGUACUUUCUCAAACUGACAACUCUAUUAUUGCCAUAAAAUUUUUACUGUAUGUUGAAAUUUAUACCAAUAGCUUUUAAUGAGUUGUACAUUUAUAUAUUGUUAUAGUUUUUAAUACAUUUUGGCAAAUUCAACCAUUUAUUAACUUAAAUAUGUGGAAUAUGGUAGUCUUAAAGGAAAAAAAGAUGAGAUGUGUAUGUACAGCGCUUAAAAGAAACUUGGAUUAGAGUCAUGGUGAUGUUCUUUUCCAAUUUACAUUGUUUGCACUUGUCAAUGGCAAAUUUUAUCUGUGAUGUACAGCUCAUUAUUAUUAAUUUAUUGUACAUAUACAACUGUAUUGUGUUUGAUUCAUAAAUACAAUGAGUUCUCCCUUCCGGAUAAAGCUGAAAACAAGCAAACGCAAGUGGCCCUCUAUUUUUACUAGCGAAUUUGCACGGAUUUUGAAGUCACAUGAACUUCCCGUCAAAUGGGCCACACAGUAUUGGACUCUUUCCUACUGACAGUGAAGCAUGAGUCACUCACAUUUCACUAUCAGUAGGCAUAAAAAUGGAAAAAAUGUACUUUUGCCUAAAUUUCUAAUGAUGUAGAUUUAUUAAAAAUGUAGGCCUUCAGUCUUUAAAUGUGUGACCUUACUGUAUAGUACAGGAAAUUCUUUAAAAUUCCUGACAAAUCCGCAUAAUGAUGGCUUGGGAAAAGAAGCCACUUGUGGUGCAUCGUGUCAAGUUUUUUCAGAGAUAAUUUCUGCAAUUGCUGGCAUUUGCCAAUGCUGGUAUAUAUUACUUUUAAUGAAGAAGUAUGCUUACUGCUUAGUCUGCUUUUGUAUUUUUCAAAAUUGUAAUUAUUGAGCAAGAUUAAGAAUUGCAGAACAGGAAUUAUUAGCAAAACCUAGUAUAGAAGAAUACAUGUUGUAGAACCACCGGAAGUUCUGGUGUGUACAAAUUACAGAAUCGCCCUAAUCCCCCUAUCACCAAGGUAUUGUAGGCGCAAUGCAUUAUGGGAAUAUGCCGUAGCAAGAGUUGUUAAGUCUAAUUUUUACUAUGCAUAAGGAUUGUGCCUUCAUUUUAUUUAAGAAAAUCAAUGCAAUUUUUGUAUUUUUGAAUUGUUGAUAUAAUUGAGUACAUACAUGUACAUGUAGAAUGUAUGAAAGUACACGUAGUAUUAGAAUGUGGGAAAUUGUAAUUCAAGAGAAAGCAAGUUAAAGUUGUUUUGAAAUGUUUCCAAUGCAUUUGAUAAGUUGAAAUAUCAUCAUAAUGCAAACAAAAUUAUGAAACCUUAUGAAUAAUGGUAGACUGAAACUAACAACAUACAUGUACAUGUAGAUACAUUUUAUGGUAUAUAGGAUGGUCUGAUAUUCAAUUUAGUUGGCAGAUAUAGAAUAGAUAUCAUUCAUUAUUUCAUUUAUAGUAUUUGAAAUUCUUCGUAUUUUUAAAAGAAUCCCUAACAUACGAAAUAUCUUGUGGUCACUGGUACACUUUUUAACAUGUUCUUCUAUAAUUAUGCAAGCUUUGUUUACGGUUGUUUAAAGAUAUGAUAUAGGCAUGACUAAACAGAAUAUACCAUGCUCAUGUAUAAAGAAGUCUGAAUUAGAAGUUGAUUGCAAUAUUCAAAUCAAUUUUAUAUCAAUACUUUCUGACCAUUUACAUAUGUACACGUAGACCAAAGAUUAGCUGUAGGUUUUCAUUCAUGCUUUUGGAUAUUUGAUUUUUAUUUAAAUUGAAUGUGCACAGUGUUAUCAUGUAGUUAAUGAUUUGUCAGGUACUCUGUAGUACAUUUCCAGUAUCAUCAAUAACAGAAAAUAAUUAAUGUAAUGUGGAAAGAUCUACUUUAUGCAUAACAUGUACAUUUUUAUUAUAAGUGUUCAUUAUUUUGUCCUAGCUAUGAAGAUUUCAUAGCUUCAUUUCGAGGAAAAACUAAUUCACUGUAAUAUUUUGAUUUAUUGUCAUUAUUAUUUUUCUUUUAAAAUCUUUUUUGUUUUAACCUGUGCAAAAAUAUAGUUACACCAAUGAGUUGCAGUGUUUUGUUAAAUGUUCCAUUGGCAACACAUGUACUUACAUUUUAAAUAUCUACAUUUAUGCAAGUUAAAAAGUAAUUGUUUACAUGUUAACAGUAAUUUGGUGAUAGAUAAUAGAACACAAGUGCAACUAUUUUUGAAAAAUCUAUAUUAUGUCCCAUAGAAAUGUUUGCACAAUUGCCUUAGAUUUUUUUUAAUAAAGUAGUUGCUAUCAUGUUAUACGUGGUCAGUAUUGUAAUCCCGAACACAUUAUCGUUCCAUGAAUAUCAUAUGUAACUUUUUAAAUGUGAAUCAUACUAUUGUAAUUAUUACUUGGUAUUUUUAAAUAAUUUUGUGCAAUAAUAUUAUGAGUGACCUACUUUGACAAAAAAAAAUUAAGAAUAAGAUAUGAAUUACCUAUAUACCCAUUCUUUGUUUUUCUUCAAAGUACACCUGUAAACUGUUGUGACAAAUCUUUUGAUUACCUUGUUCCCAUUUUGAUGUCAUAAGCCAAAUAAAAGAUGAAUAGGGAUUAUCAUUCAUCUAACUAUAUAUUCUUGCUUGAAUUUUAUUAGUAAACUUCAUUCAUAUACAUGAACAUUUUGUUUCACAAUACAUGAAUAAAACAAUUAUAUAAACAAGAAAAUCAACAAGUGGUAUAAUUUUGCGAGUAAUCACAAAUAAAUAACAAACAAUGUAGCUUGUAACAACAUGUACCAGCCUAUGUUUGACAAUAAAGAUACAUAACAAAUGUGAAUGAUAA
rnacentral:lncRNA from 1 species